rnacentral:rRNA from 1 species
UACGUAGGGAGCAAGCGUUGUCCGGAAUCAUUGGGCGUAAAGCGCGCGUAGGCGGCCCCGUAAGUCCGCUGUGAAAGUCAAAGGCUCAACCUUUGAAAGCCGGUGGAUACUGUGGGGCUAGAGUACGGAAGAGGCGAGUGGAAUUCCUGGUGUAGCGGUGGAAUGCGCAGAUAUCAGGAGGAACACCAAUGGCGAAGGCAGCUCGCUGGGACGGUACUGACGCUGAGACGCGAAAGCGUGGGGAGCAAACAGG